UAAACAAAAAAGAGCAUCUCAAUUACAGAAAAUCAACAAUUAUAUCAAAGAAGUAAAUUGCCAUGGGUACUGGUGAAAACACAAACCAACAGUUAUGCUGACUAGUGAUGUGAACCACCUAUCCACCAUCCCACCACCUGGACGGGGCAGGGGCUGGGCCUGCAGCCCCAGGAAGCACAGGACAGAAGACAGGGGUAUGUCUCAGAAGGGAUGCUGAUGCAAACCAUUUAAAACCAGCUGGACAAUUAUCCUGCUGCAGGGCUCUUUAAGGUCCUUCCAUAGUGAUGUACUGUAUUCAAAGCAAAGAUACAGCCAUGAAGACCAAGAGAUCUUCAAAACAACUCCACCUCAUAGAUUUCAAUGAGCACAGAGCAGAAGAGAUUUCAGAUACUUUGAAUAUCUCUGGGAAGAGAGCCAAUCCGAUGAUGUAGGAGUGGAAAAUACACAACACCAGCUAGAAAGAUCUGACCAUUCUCCCAAAGUGGCACUCUUGCAGCUCGGCGCCUUCCAGGUGGUCAGGGAUGGGCAGGCCACUUAGCACGGUCAGGCACUUGUUCCACACACUGAAGACAGGGCAGACAGGCUGGGCGAAGGCGAUGUCAAAGGUGUGCAG